rnacentral:rRNA from 1 species
GAUGAACGCUGGCGGCGUGCCUAAUACAUGCAAGUCGAGCGAACAGACGAGGAGCUUGCUCCUCUGACGUUAGCGGCGGACGGGUGAGUAACACGUGGAUAACCUACCUAUAAGACUGGGAUAACUUCGGGAAACCGGAGCUAAUACCGGAUAAUAUAUUGAACCGCAUGGUUCAAUAGUGAAAGACGGUUUUGCUGCCACUUAUAGAUGGAUCCGCGCCGCAUUAGCUAGUUGGUAAGGUAACGGCUUACCAAGGCAACGAUGCGUAGCCGACCUGAGAGGGUGAUCGGCCACACUGGAACUGAGACACGGUCCAGACUCCUACGGGAGGCAGCAGUAGGGAAUCUUCCGCAAGGGGCGAAAGCCUGACGGAGCAACGCCGCGUGAGUGAUGAAGGUCUGCGGAUCGUAAAACGCUGUUAUUAGGGAAGAACAAAUGUGUAAGUAACGAUGCACGUCUGGACGGUACCUAAGCAGAAAGCCACGGCUAACUACGG